rnacentral:rRNA from 1 species
CAGUAGCCGCGGUAAUACGGAGGGUGCAAGCGUUAAUCGGAAUUACUGGGCGUAAAGUGCACGCAGGCGGUUUGUUAAGUCAGAUGUGAAAUCCCCGAGCUUAACUUGGGAACUGCAUUUGAAACUGGCAAGCUAGAGUCUUGUAGAGGGGGGUAGAAUUCCAGGUGUAGCGGUGAAAUGCGUAGGGAUCUGGAGGAAUACCGGUGGCGAAGGCGGCCCCCUGGACAAGGACUGACGCUCAGGUGCGAAAGCGUGGGGAGCAAACAGGAUUAGAUACCCGUGUAGUCCCUGUCUCUUAUAC